CUCUUUCCUUGACAGGAAAACGCCAAAGUGCUGCAGGAGAGAGCAGUGGCUUACAUCAAUGCAGACUCAGCAAUAGAGGGUAUGUACACAUUGAGGAUAGACUGCACCCCCUCUCUCCACACCUUGGUGUACGACAUCACCAAACAGUAGCUCAACGGUUCCCCCAAGUUGGACAAGCAAGCGCCUUUGACUGUCGGCCCAGAUGAUGUAUGGUCGUACUGGUCACACACACAGAGAACAUGAGUCUUUGGCCCAGAAACAGGCUCCAAACAGAACAAGAGCUCUGUUACUGGUGCGCGUGAUAUAACCUUUACUCUGUCUCCGAUCAAGAGGAACCAGUCCGUUUCUGUCAAUUGUUGGCUGAGUGGCCAGACAUCCUGGGGUCAUUCUACACACUCAAACAGUCAGGACAAGCCUCUACUAAUGAGCACACACACUUUUCUAUCUUCUGUCUGUAGUUGUUUCUUUGCAGCAAUUUGACAAUGAUUGUCGGAUUCACGUCUCCUCUGAACAGUUGAUGUUGAGAUGUGUCUGUUAUUUGAACUCUGUGAAGUAUUUAUUUGGGCUGAAAUUUCUGAGGCUGGUAACUCUAAUGAACUUAUCCUCUGCAGCAGAGGGAACUCUGGGUCUUCCUUUCCUGUGGCGGUCCUUAUGAGAGACAGUUCCAUCAUAGCGCUUGAUGGUUUUUACGACUGUACAUGAGGAAACAUUCAACAUUGUCCGUAUUGACUGAACUUCAUGUCUUAAAGUAAUGAUGGACUGUUGUUUCUCUUUGAUUAUUUGAGAUAUUCUUGCCAUUAUUCUUACCAUAAUAUGGACUUGGUCUUUUACCAAAUAGGGUUAUCUUCUGUAUACCACCACUACCUUGUCACAACACAUCUGGUUGGCUCAAACACAUUAAGAAGAAAAGCAAUUCCACAAAUGAACUUAACAAGGCACACCUGUUAAAUUGAAAUGCAUUCCAGGUGACUACCUCAUGAAGCUGGUUGAGAGAAUGCCAAGAGUGUGAAAAGCUGUCAUCAAGGCAAAGGGUGGCUACUUUGAAGAAUCUCAAAUAUAUUUUGAUUUGUUUAACACUUUAUUGGUUACUACAUGAUUCCAUUUGUGUUAUUUCAUAGAUUUGAUGUCUUCACUAUU